GGGGAAAAAAAGGUUGGGGGCAGGGAUAAUGUCAAUAUCAGUUACUGGUUGCAAUAAGCUUAAAGUUAGUUUACAUUUAGUGACACUUCAGUAUACCAAUCCUAUGAUUCUUGCAAAUUUUGACUGAAUUCAGAUAUAAUAUUGUUAAAUUCUAUAAAAAGGAGAAAAUCAAAAAUUAGCAGCUAUGCUAAAAGUAACUUAUACCCUUUUAAUGUGCAUAUUGAAAUUUUU
rnacentral:lncRNA from 1 species